ACAUGACCGACGCGGGUCGGUAUAUAGUAUCUGUUCUGAUCAGCUUAAUAUCUGAUACGGGUUGUAUUUGAACCCAAGAUAUUAAACCUAUUUUUGUAAGUUGGCGGAGUGUUUGAAGCGUGCUUCACCUCCACCGUGGGUCAGCCCAGUAUUGCACAUCUUCGAGAUAUUUAGUCUAUAGACA